ensembl:lncRNA
UUUUCCUGCUCAGCCUUCUGUAAACAAAGGCUCUGAUAGAAUGCAUCCAAGUGCAGCAUUUUAUAACAGGCACAUUGAUGCCAAUCAAAUGAAACCACGUCCUCUCGGUCAUCACCAAGUCCCUGUGACACACAGUGAUUGACAAAUACAGAGUUGCAUGAGUCGCAUGUAGGACUCCAGACUGAAACCUGUUGCAGCAUGAGAAGAGGCAUGCAGCCUUAACACAGCAACAGGGUCUUGUGAAACAGGCUCUGCUGUCACUAGCUGGUUUACCAAAAGUAUUAUUAUUUUUUUUUUUUCUUUAAAAAAAAGAGGACAAUGUUUUUAUACGUUUUCCUGUUACUGAAAAGUUUUCCCCCACUGUAAACGUUUACACUUUUUCCUUUAAAAAACAGAGGACAUUUUAAAAGGGCCGAAUAAAAGCUGCCUCUGUGCCACAGGCUUUAAGGAUGCCGGGGUCUCCAGCAAAGCAACUCAGAACUGUGCUCUGAUACCUAACAAGCCAUGAUACAUAACAAGCAAUGAAACCUUACAAGCAAGUGCACUCAUAAUAAUGCAGCUCCCACUCAUGUCAGGUAGUGGAUGUCGGGUUCAGAAGAGAGAGCUAGGUAAUCAGACAAUAAGCGUGUGAUCCUCUAAUUUGUCCACUAUUUCAGAAACCUGAGGUCUGCCUUUGAUCACGGAUAUGCAUUAGUCACAGACUGCCAGCGUUGAAGCCAGCUUUCAUGAAAAGCACAAGAUUUUGUUGUAUGACCAUCUUUAAAAAGCAACAGCGUUCAAAGAGAGCAAAAAGCCAGAGUGAGUGAUGAAACAAGAGCAAGCCUUGCGCAGCCAACUUACAGAGAUAAUGAGACGUGUGGUAUGUAUGAUACCUUCUCGCCACAGUGGAAUAGAAUGACAAGUUUCAUAUCAUUUCAGUAUUUGCUUUAAAUGCAUUUGCAUUCAAGGGAAGGUCCAGGGAAAAGUGGGAGUUUAAAGCAGAAUCAUGGGCAGAGAGAUUGAUUACAUAUUCCGUUGUAGGU